UCUCAUAAAUUUGAAAUCUCAUCCAAGUUCAUCCUAUCCAAUUCCCUCUCAAGUUGAAGGAAGAAAUCUAGGAUUGAAGCUUCAAGUCUCUUUGUUUCCUUAUUGCUUGUGGGAUUUGAUCAUCAAGGGUUCGACGCUUCUUCUCCUCUCAUUCAUGACUAGUUGAUUGGUCGAUCACUGCAGACUUGAUAUGGGUAUAUCCUAUUUUAUGAUACAUUCUCAACGAAUUGAAGAGGAAAAGCUAAAAAAGGCAAUAGAUUCCAAGAAGCCAAGGACAUGUGAUGGUGAUUUUUCUCAUUCUAGGUCUGAUGGACAAGUUCGUUUUAAUUAUAUGCAUCCUAAGUUCAACUCAGAUAGAGUGUCUAACUCUAAACCUGAAUGAGAAAAUAGUGGUUGAUCGUCUAUGCCUACUAGUACAAGGUAUGGCAAGAAACAUGAUGGCAUGUUUGGUCGGUAUGGAUGAUUGCUUUAAUUGUAGAAAGAGUGGUCACAAGAUGAGAGACUGUCUGCUGCUUGCUACUUAGAAAGGAGAUGGUAGGCAAGCUCAGCCUAGUGGUUUUGGUUCAGAUUCUUCGAAGCAAAAUAAAUUAUAUGCUCUUCAUACUCGACAGAAUCACGAGGGUUUUCCGAAUGUGGCGACCGGUAUUUGGAUUGAGGAUUAAUCAUGGACACUAACUGAAAGAACAAACAAAAGAAGGUCUGAUGAUCGUCUAACCCAUUGGGCGAGUCACCGAAUGGACAAGAUCUCGCCUAAAGUUCUAGUGUGCGAAGCCAUGACGGAGAAAAUCAAGUAUAGGAGAAGUCGACAACUCUCCAAACGAUUCCGCGAUGCAUUACAAGAUUGCGCAAAGAUACAAAACUUGAAGAUGAUGCAAGCCAAAGAAAAAAGGCGAUGAAAUUGAACAAAGGGCGGAUCGUUGAGUGGAUCAACGAUCCCAACUUAUUGUGCUGAAUGGUCUUUUGCUACACAUUUUUUGGCGACUAUAAAUACAUGUUUAAAUUCUUAGGUUAGUAUCUAUUUUUCAUUGUAUAAGCAGAAUUAUCAGUUUUGAAAUUAGAACUCUGAGUAUUUAGACUAAUUUUUCCUUAGUGUUGAAGAUUUCAAACUUCCCAUUUUGGAUAAAUUGAAAGUGGGUAUUGAAGAUUCUUCAAUUUGGACCUUUGUAAAGAGAAAGUUAAUCUUACC